GAUGAACGCUGGCGGCGUGCCUAAUACAUGCAAGUCGAACGAAACUUCUUUAUCACCGAGUGCUUGCACUCACCGAUACAGGGUUGAGUGGCGAACGGGAGAGUAACACGUGGGCAACCUGCCCAUAAGAGGGGGGUAACACUAGGAAACAGGUGCUAAUACCGCAUAACCAUAGUUACCGCAUGGCAACUAUGUAAAAGGUGGCUAUACUACCGCUUUUGGAUGGGCUCGCGGCGCAUUAGCUAGUUGGUAGGGUAAAGGCUUACCAAGGCAAUGAUGCGUAGCCGAAGUGAGAGGUUGAUCGGCCACAUUGGGAGUGAGACACGGCCCAAACUCCUACGGGAGGCAGCAGUAGGGAAGCUACCACAAUGGGCGAAAGCCUGAUGGAGCAACGCCGGGUGGGUGAAGAAGGUCUUCGGAUCGUAAAACCCUGUUGUUAGAGAAGAAAGUGCGUGAGAGUAACUGUUCACGUUUCGACGGUAUCUAAACAGAAAGCCACGGCUAACUACGUG
rnacentral:rRNA from 1 species